GUAUAUAUACGUAUAUACAUAUAUGUGUAUAUAUAUGUAUACACACAUAUAUGUAUAUACGUAUAUACAUA
rnacentral:pre_miRNA from 13 species